ensembl:snRNA U6 U6 spliceosomal RNA
GUGCUCUCUUCGGCAGCACAUAUACCAAAACUGGAAUGAUACAGAGAGGUUAUUAGCAUGGCCCUGUGCAAGGAUGAUGCACAAUUUAUGAAGCAUUUCAUAUUUUU